GAUGAACGCUAGCGGCAGGCCUAACACAUGCAAGUCGAGGGAGAAGCCCUUUCGGGGGCUGAAACCGGCGCACGGGUGCGUAACGCGUAUGCAACCUACCUUUCACCGGGGGCUAGCUCGAAGAAAUUUGGAUUAAUACCUCAUUAUAUUAUUGGAUGGCAUCAUUUUCUAAUUAAAACUGCGGUGGUGAAAGAUGGUCAUGCGUCCUAUUAGCUAGUUGGUGUGGUCACGGCACCCCAAGGCUACGGUAGGUAGGGGUCCUGAGAGGGAGAGCCCCCACACGGGUACUGAGACAGGGACCAGACUCCUACGGGAGGCAGGAGUGAGGAAUAGUGGUAAAUGGUCGGAAGACUGACCCAGCCAUGCCGCGUGCAGGAAGAAUGCCUUAGGGGUUAUAAACUUCUUUUAGAUGGGAAGAAUAGGGCGGACUUGUACGUUGAUGACGGUACCAGAUGAAGAAGCAUCGGCUAACUCCGUG
rnacentral:rRNA from 1 species